rnacentral:lncRNA from 1 species
CCACACUUUCACACAAAGCCUUCAAACCCGUUCUCUUAUGCAAAUUUUCGAACUUUAAAUUAUGACAGCUCCUUGCCCUGUGGGCUUUGUUUCUGGAUUAGUUACAUGACUUUACUUCCUCACUUCUUCAUGCUCCUUAUACAGAGUCCAUACUUAUUCAUAGGCCUCACUAUUUCAACGUCUGAUUUACUUUGUUUAAAACUUGAUUUACUUUGGAGAAAAGGUCAUCAGUUCACGGUCGGGUGACGAGCCGUCAAAAGAAAUCCGAUCGAGUUCCAUACACGGAUCUUCCUGCCGCCUUUUGUUGCCAACUUGCGCGCUGUAAAUUCCGUACCUUAGUGAGAUGGUUUUUAAACUUAUACAUGCUGCUAAUUUCAAUAGAGAUUUGCCAUGCGGAUGAGACCUGUAAAUAGUUUCUUUUUGCAAGAUUGUUCCUCCUUUCGAUUAAAAUUAGAGGCCUAGUUUGUCUAUCUUCAACUCCAAGGAUUUUUGUAGUCCUAUUCGUAAACUUACAAUUAAAAAAAGUCAUUUACUGCCUUAGUCUCUACUUUGUUUCAUCUUGAAAUAAUCAAGUAUACAUUUAAUUUGCACUAAUAUUUUAGACUGCUGAAAGGUUUUAAUACUGUGAGGGGUAGUUAAAUGUUUCACUUUUCAAUUAGAUCCGAGAAAAACUUUAUGAAUACACGUAAAAUUUAGAAACAUUUGGGGAUAUGUUUAAGAAUUAAAAAUCCGAUUUAUAGUAGAAUGUUAAAGCAACGUAUAUAGAGUGACGGAAAAAUUAUCUCCUCUAAGGAUGUUACUGUUCUUCUGAGGACAAAAAACAGUUCGCCUUUUAUCUCUUAGACGGUUGUCUAGGUUGCCUCGCAUGUUUCCCCUUCAAAAUUCUCUAAUUAAUGAAUGCGCUUUUUUUCUUCACUACAUAUUUUCUCUGGGACGCAAAAAAGUAAAGUUAACCUUGCACAUUUCUCCUACUGCCCUACUCCUCAUGUACGAUGAUACCAACCGUAGCUCCCACAUUUUUCUCUUCAUUCACUUCAUAUUUCCCUUGAGGCGCGAGAGACGUAUCUUUUUGUACUCCUGGAAAAAAAAAAAACAAUGAGACUCAGGUGCCAGGGUGUUUCCAUUUGCUCGAUUUCACUGCGUGUUAAACUAGAAUCUCGCGUCGUGUUUGAAGGUAGCGUACAUCCGUAUGUGAGGAAUUUUAAGAAUAUGAAUCCGUCCACCUCGUACGUAUCAAGCCGUCAGAUAUCUCGUCUCAUCUCUGCACCUUGCGAGAUUAAUUAUUGUAGUGGAUAAUAUUAUUGAGAAUAAAAAACGGCUCCCAGAACAUUUUUUGAUGCGUCGACGAACAAUAAUACUGCCUUGCUUACAUCAAAAUUGGUUAGAGCAUGGAUAUUAUUCAUUGUUUCCUGUAAAUGAACAAAUUCAUCGUUGUGAAUUUGAGACCACUCCCAUCAAUUCUCUUUCUUGAGCAAUUUCCAUAAAUUGUGUGUUUUUUCUGACAAAUGGACUGCAUUUUGCAAUUAGGAGAUAUAAAUUCCGGCCCGGUUUAAUAACAACGUAUGUGCCAUUAGUUUCCCUAUGCACAUACGUGUUUUUUCAGAUGAGUUGGAAUUUAUAGGUCCAAAUUGCAAAGUGCAGUCCAAAUUAGGUAUGGACAAUCGCAAGUAAUUGACAACACCCAAAUCUCUCUACAACUCCGUUAUUAGGUUGGAGGCGGCAUUUUUUGUAUGAUGGCUUCAAAAAAUGUGCCUCCAAUUGAAAGUGACUGAAUCCAAGUCUGUCAAAACUUCUUAAUUUUUU